CAACCUGCCCACCACUUGGGGAUAACCUUGCGAAAGUAAGACUAAUACCCAAUGAUAUCUCUAGAAGACAUCUGAAAGAGAUUAAAGAUUUAUCGGUGAUGGAUGGGGAUGCGUCUGAUUAGCUUGUUGGCGGGGUAACGGCCCACCAAGGCAACGAUCAGUAGGGGUUCUGAGAGGAAGGUCCCCCACAUUGGAACUGAGACACGGUCCAAACUCCUACGGGAGGCAGCAGUGAGGAAUAUUGGUCAAUGGACGAGAGUCUGAACCAGCCAAGUAGCGUGCAGGAUGACGGCCCUAUGGGUUGUAAACUGCUUUUAUAAGGGAAUAAAGUGAGUCUCGUGAGACUUUUUGCAUGUACCUUAUGAAUAAGGACCGGCUAAUUCCGUGCCAGCAGCCGCGGUAAUACGGAAGGUCCGGGCGUUAUCCGGAUUUAUUGGGUUUAAAGGGAGCGUAGGCCGGAGAUUAAGCGUGUUGUGAAAUGUAGAUGCUCAACAUCUGCACUGCAGCGCAAACUGGUUUCCUUGAGUACGCACAAAGUGGGCGGAAUUCGUGGUGUAGCGGUGAAAUGCUUAGAUAUCACGAAGAACUCCGAUUG
rnacentral:rRNA from 1 species